UAAUACCUGAUAAGCCCACGACUCCUUCGGGAGAUGCGAGAAAAGGUGGCCUCUGAAUACGCUACCGUAUCAGGAUGGGUCCGCGUACCAUUAGCUAGUUGGUGGGGUAAUGGCCUACCAAGGCUACGAUGGUUAGCUGGUCUGAGAGGAUGAUCAGCCACACUGGAACUGAGACACGGUCCAGACUCCUACGGGAGGCAGCAGUGGGGAAUUUUGCGCAAUGGGGGAAACCCUGACGCAGCAACGCCGCGUGAGUGAUGAAGGCCUUCGGGUCGUAAAGCUCUGUCAGAGGGGAAGAAGUGUAGUGCGGUUAAUACCCGCAUUACUUGACGGUACCCUCAAAGGAAGCACCGGCUAACUCCGUGCCAGCAGCCGCGGUAAUACGGAGGGUGCAAGCGUUGUUCGGAUUUAUUGGGCGUAAAGCGCGUGUAGGCGGCUCCUUAAGUCUGAUGUGAAAGCCCCGGGCUCAACCUGGGAAGUGCAUUGGAAACUGGGGAACUUGAAUACGGGAGAGGGUAGUGGAAUUCCUGGUGUAGGAGUGAAAUCCGUAGAUAUCAGGAGGAACACCGGUGGCGAAGGCGGCUACCUGGACCGAUAUUGACGCUGAGACGCGAAAGCGUGGGGAGCAACAGGAUUAGAUACCCUGGUAGUCCACGCCGUAAACGAUGAGUACUAGGUGUUGCGGGUA
rnacentral:rRNA from 1 species